GUGCCAGGUAACGCCUGGGGGGCGUGAGCCCACGACCAGUGCAACAGAGAGCAAACCGCCGAUGGCCCGCAAGGGAUCAGGUAAGGGUGAAAGGGUGCGGUAAGAGCGCACCGCGCGACUGGCAACAGUUCGUGGCACGGUAAACUCCACCCGAAGCAAGACCAAAUAGGCCCCUAUUGGCGCGGCCCGCGUUGGGGGCGGGUAGGUUGCUUGAGCCAGCGAGCGAUUGCUGGCCUAGAGGAAUGAUUGCUGCCCGGGGCAACCCGGUACAGAACCCGGCUUACAGGCCGACUCCGAAC
rnacentral:RNase_P_RNA from 1 species